rnacentral:rRNA from 1 species
AUAAAAUCCGUCGUCAAGAGGGAAACAACCCAGACUACCAGCUAAGGUCCCUAAAUCUUACUUAAGUGGAAAACGAUGUGAAGUUACUUAAACAACCAGGAGGUUGGCUUAGAAGCAGCCAUCCUUUAAAGAAAGCGUAAUAGCUCACUGGUCUAGUGAUUUUGCGCGGAAAAUAUAACGGGGCUAAAGUAAGUACCGAAGCUGUAGACUUAGUUUACUAAGUGGUAGGAGAGCGUUCUAUUUGCGUCGAAGGUAUACCGGUAAGGAGUGCUGGAGCGAAUAGAAGUGAGCAUGCAGGCAUGAGUAGCGAUAAUUAAUGUGAGAAUCAUUAACGCCGUAAACCCAAGGUUUCCUACGCGAUGCUCGUCAUCGUAGGGUUAGUCGGGUCCUAAGUCGAGUCCGAAAGGGGUAGACGAUGGCAAAUUGGUUAAUAUUCCAAUACCAACAUUAGUGUGCGAUGGAAGGACGCUUAGGGCUAAGGGGGCUAGCGGAUGGAAGUGCUAGUCUAAGGUCGUAGGAGGUUGUACAGGCAAAUCCGUAUAACAAUACUCCGAGAACUGAAAGGCUUUUUGAAGUCUUCGGAUGGAUAGAAGAACCCCUGAUGCCGUCGAGCCAAGAAAAGUUUCUAAGUUUAGCUAAUGUUGCCCGUACCGUAAACCGACACAGGUGGGUGGGAUGAGUAUUCUAAGGCGCGUGGAAGAACUCUCUUUAAGGAACUCUGCAAAAUAGCACCGUAUCUUCGGUAUAAGGUGUGGUUAGCUUCGUACUAGGAUUUACUCCGAAAGCGAAGAAACUUACAACAAAGAGUCCCUCCCGACUGUUUACCAAAAACACAGCACUCUGCUAACUCGUAAGAGGAUGUAUAGGGUGUGACGCCUGCCCGGUGCUCGAAGGUUAAUUGAUGGGGUUAGCAUUAGCGAAGCUCUUGAUCGAAGCCCGAGUAAACGGCGGCCGUAACUAUAACGGUCCUAAGGUAGCGAAAUUCCUUGUCGGUUAAAUACCGACCUGCAUGAAUGGCGUAACGAGAUGGGAGCUGUCUCAAAGAGGGAUCCAGUGAAAUUGUAGUGGAGGUGAAAAUUCCUCCUACCCGCGGCAAGACGGAAAGACCCCGUGGACCUUUACUACAGCUUGACACUGCUACUUGGAUAAGAAUGUGCAGGAUAGGUGGGAGGCUUUGAGUAUAUGACGCCAGUUGUAUAUGAGCCAUUGUUGAGAUACCACUCUUUCUUAUUUGGGUAGCUAACCAGCUUGAGUUAUCCUCAAGUGGGACAAUGUCUGGUGGGUAGUUUGACUGGGGCGGUCGCCUCCCAAAUAAUAACGGAGGCUUACAAAGGUUGGCUCAGAACGGUUGGAAAUCGUUCGUAGAGUAUAAAGGUAUAAGCCAGCUUAACUGCAAGACAUACAAGUCAAGCAGAGACGAAAGUCGGUCUUAGUGAUCCGGUGGUUCUGUGUGGAAGGGCCAUCGCUCAAAGGAUAAAAGGUACCCCGGGGAUAACAGGCUGAUCUCCCCCAAGAGCUCACAUCGACGGGGAGGUUUGGCACCUCGAUGUCGGCUCAUCGCAUCCUGGGGCUGGAGCAGGUCCCAAGGGUAUGGCUGUUCGCCAUUUAAAGCGGUACGCGAGCUGGGUUCAGAACGUCGUGAGACAGUUCGGUCCCUAUCUGCCGUGGGCGUAAGAAGAUUGAAGAGAUUUGACCCUAGUACGAGAGGACCGGGUUGAACAAACCACUGGUGUAGCUGUUGUUCUGCCAAGAGCAUCGCAGCGUAGCUAAGUUUGGAAAGGAUAAACGCUGAAAGCAUCUAAGCGUGAAGCCAACUCUAAGAUGAAUCUUCUCUAAGCUCUCUAGAAGACUACUAGUUUGAUAGGCUGGGUGUGUAAUGGAUGAAAGUCCUUUAGCUGACCAGUACUAAUAGAGCGUUUGGCUUAUCUUUAAUAAAGCAU